rnacentral:rRNA from 1 species
GUGCCAGCAGCCGCGGUAAGACAGAGGGUGCAAACGUUGUUCGGAAUUACUGGGCGUAAAGCGCGUGUAGGCGGCUCGGCAAGUCGGGUGUGAAAGCCCUGGGCUCAACCCAGGAAGUGCACUCGAAACUGCCGGGCUUGAGUCCCGGAGAGGAAGGCGGAAUUCUCGGUGUAGAGGUGAAAUUCGUAGAUAUCGAGAGGAACACCGGUGGCGAAGGCGGCCUUCUGGACGGUGACUGACGCUGAGACGCGAAAGCGUGGGGAGCAAACAGGAUUAGAUACCCUAGUAGUCC